UCAUUUCAAACACUGGUUGAAAACAGUUUUGAGUGGGCAGAUGAAAACUUAAGCAACUAAUUCUUAACCAAAUUAUUAUUUGUAGUUCUUUAACAUUUCGUGUUUUUAUUUGUAUAUUAAGGUUCCUAUGUGUGAUAAGGGCCAACAUCACACAAAUUCAUGUGAUUUUUGUCAUAAAAGUCUUUGAAACAAUAUGAGUUUUGACACCAGCUACAUUUUAUAAAAAAGAGGCCUUCACAAGAAGGUAACACGCACUGUAUACCAGAAUAUGUAAAGCAGACUGAUUUUACAUUAGCGAAUGUUGGCUUCUCAUCCCCGAUCCAUAGCCCACUUGAAUACCAACAAUACUUUAUCAUCGGUAUAAAUGAUGGUGCACUUAAAAGAAAGUGUCCAAUGGCUGAGCAACAUCAGUACAAUUCUCUGGAACGAAUUUCACUGUGAGUGCCGGCCAUCCAUCAUCGGGAUUAAAUUUCGACUCAUACAUUUGAAGAAAUGUAGCAACUAAAGGCCUGCUUAAUUUGCCGGACUUGCUAGCGGUGACAAACAGGUUUGGAGCAGAAAACAGUGUCUUCUUGACUACUGGUCCAAUGGUGCCACUUGCCUCCUAGAGACAAGUUAGGGAUUUUGAAACAUUCGGUGUGAAAAUUUAAUCAGUUAAAUUUACCUGUAAGCAUACAAAUACUUUUGGUAGAAUUGUUCCUGCGUAGGUAAUAGUAUACUGUACUGUAUACGAGUGGGUCACCUUAUUCUUUGGGGAUAUCGCCGAACCGAACGUUGACCUCUCGCCUUUCCAAGACAACGUCCUAUUCGACACAAUCUCGUAUUUGAAACCAGUUUGGUCCGUGUUCCAAACUAACGUCGGGUCAUGAACAGAAAUUAGUGGUUGCAUUUCAUUCCUGAACUCUUCAGCCAUGAGACCUAUUUGUUCCAUAUCACGAAUGGAAGACCUGUUCACUAGUUUUUGGAUUCUUCUUGAAGAAAUCCGGUUUCUACUUCUAAAUCGAGCAAUCCAACUAUCUGACGCCUUGAAUUUGAAACCUGGAUAUUCAUUAGCCUUCGAUACUGCCCAGCGCCGCAGAUCCAUACUGUGGACCGAUCGGAAUUCUUGGCGAGCCUCGCGAAAGAGUUGUAGGACAUGAUGCUCAAUUUCCAUAUAAAUAUCGAAGUUUGUUCCGCCUUAAACAAAAUAUCCUAGGUAAAUCAAUUGAAAAAAGUUACGAAAUAAAAAAACUCAUCUCAAAGUUUACCCAUGCGUAUUUGACUUUUCCAUCUUUGCAAAUAAUUACGAUGUUUGACCUUCUUAAAUUUGUUCUGGAAUGUUAAGAAUUUCCACGCCGGAUUGCUUUCAAAUGCAUUUAUGGCUCUUUUCUUGUAUUCCAUAUCCACUUUGUCUCGUUUAAUUGGCUCUCCUUCUUCAUCCUCGUAGUCAUUUAGCGCAGA